CGAACCUUUAUUCCAGUUGCUGUUUUUUCUUGUGUAUGUUUCAGUCAUUUCCAUGAUUCAAAAGUUGCUACUUUCUAUGUACUGGCAAAGAGAUAGUGUAAGAGAACGGCAAUUGUGGGCGUGUGUAUGCAAGUGCUGGGGCAGAUCUUGCUCAUUUGAAGCUACAAAACAAAGACUGUGGACGAUUAUUUGCUUCGAGACUCGGUGAAUUGGAAGUAGAGUGUGAGAAAAAAAAAAUCACUCAGUUUAUUUGUCUUCGAGUGCACAACGUUAAUUUCUAGCCGAUUGAGAGAGCAACAACAUAGGGGUUUCGAUUUCUGCAAAGCUAGAUUUUCGAAGCUCAUCAAGUUUGCUGACAAAAACAA